rnacentral:rRNA from 1 species
CAGUCGCCGCGGGAAUACGGAGGGUGCAAGCGUUAUCCGGAUUCACUGGGUUUAAAGGGUGCGUAGGCGGGUAAGUAAGUCCGUGGUGAAAUCUCUGAGCUUAACUCAGAAACUGCCGUGGAUACUAUUUGCCUUGAAUAUUGUGGAGGUGAGCGGAAUAUGUCAUGUAGCGGUGAAAUGCUUAGAUAUGACAUAGAACACCAAUUGCGAAGGCAGCUCACUACACAAUUAUUGACGCUGAGGCACGAAAGCGUGGGGAUCAAACAGGAUUAGAUACCCCUGUAGUCCCUGUCUCUUAUAC